rnacentral:lncRNA from 1 species
GUUGGCAUUAAGAAGGACUGUUUUCCUUUUCAAAACAAAACAAAAAUCUGAAAGGUUUCAACAGAUGAAGAAAUUGAUUUAUUAAAUGAACGUUUGAAAUAAAUUCAUAAAACACAUUUAAUUUAAAACUAACAACUUGUUGGAAGAAGGUUCUUACUGGGACUACUAUUAUGUUGGUAUAGUAGUCGCAGACUAAGUAUUGAAGAUUUAAUUAUUUUGAUAUGCCGCUAGUCUAAAUACUACAUAUGAAGAUAGUCGUUAAGAUACAUUCGUUACACGGUUUGCUGGUGACUAAUAUUUGGUCAUUGUUAUAUUCAUUCGUUUGACAUGUUUGAGAUUUCGAUUUUGCCAUUUAAGUAUGGUCUUUCCGUUUUGAAUUUUCCUCGGAGUUCGCUAUUUUUGUGAUUUCACCUUUUCUAUCUUAAGGUAGAUUAGGGAUAUAGAAAAUAAACGACAGAAUUUUCUUAAACUUUGCCAAAAAGAAGAUUUUACUAUCGUUUAAAAAAAA